GCGAGGCUGUGAAGCGGAGCAAAUCUCAAAAACCGGUCCCAGUUCGGAUUGUAGGCUGCAACUCGCCUACAUGAAGUCGGAGUUGCUAGUAAUCGCGGAUCAGAAUGCCGCGGUGAAUGCGUUCCCGGGUCUUGUACACACCGCCCGUCACACCAUGGGAGUUGGGAGCGCCCGAAGCCGGUGAGGUAACCGAGAGGAGCCAGCCGUCGAAGGUGAGACCAAUGACUGGGGUGAAGUCGUAACAAGGUAGC
rnacentral:rRNA from 1 species